rnacentral:rRNA from 1 species
UGAGCCUACGGGAGGCAGCAGUGGGGAAUAUUGCACAAUGGGGGAAACCCUGAUGCAGCGACGCCGCGUGAGUGAGGAAGUAUUUCGGUAUGUAAAGCUCUAUCAGCAGGGAAGAAAAUGACGGUACCUGACUAAGAAGCCCCGGCUAACUACGUGCCAGCAGCCGCGGUAAUACGUAGGGGGCAAGCGUUAUCCGGAUUUACUGGGUGUAAAGGGAGCGUAGGCGGCGAUAGAAGUCAGAAGUGAAAGCCCGGGGCUCAACUCCGGGACUGCUUUUGAAACUGUAUGGCUAGAUUGUAGGAGAG